GAUGAACGCUGGCGGCGUGCUUAACACAUGCAAGUCGAACGAAGCACUUUAUUUGAUUUCCUUCGGGACUGAUUAUUUUGUGACUGAGUGCCGGACGGGUGAGUAACGCGUGGGUAACCUGCCUUGUACAGGGGGAUAACAGUUGGAAUCGGCUGCUAAUACCGCAUAAGCGCACGGCAUCGCAUGGUGCAGUGUGAAAAACUCCGGUGGUAUAAGAUGGACCCGCGUUGGAUUAGCUAGUUGGUGAGGUAACGGCCCACCAAGGCGACGAUCCAUAGCCGAGCAGAGAGAGUGAGCCGAGACAUUGGGACUGAGACGCGGCCGGAACUCCUACGGGAGGCAGCAGUGGGGAAUAUUGCACAAUGGGCGAAAGCAUGAUGCAGCGCCGCCGCGUGAGCGAAGAAGUAUUGCGGUAUGUAAAGCUCUAUCAGCAGGGAAGAUAAUGACGGUACCUGACGAAGAAGCACCGGCUAAAUACGUG
rnacentral:rRNA from 1 species